rnacentral:rRNA from 1 species
GAAUCUCUGAGAAGGAGAACAUUCAGAUAAGUUUUAUACGGCGAAAUGCGAAUGGUCUUAAAACAGUAUACGUUAUUUGAUGGUAGUUUUUACUGGUAACUGGUAAUUGUAGAGUAAUACAUGCGCCAGACCCGACUUCACGAAGGGUGUGUUAUUAGAUACAGAACCACCCACUUUCUGGUGUUUUGGGGUUGAUGAAUACAUCCGAACGAAAUGCUUGGCGGCCAUUAACGAUUAAAGAUUCAGACUAUGACCUUUCCGACGGCCGGGGAUUGGCCUUCCGCGGAUCGGACGGUGACGGAGAACUAAGAAUUAAGGCCGGAGAGGGAGCAGGGAAAACGGCAACCGCAUAUAACGAAGGAAGAAGGCGCGCAGAUUACCCAAUACCGAAACAGGACGCAAGGAACAAGAAACAACAAAGCACGGCUCCAGGCAUAUGCAAUUUGGGAAGAGGAAAAGAUAAAAACCUUUACGAGUUUAAAAGGGCCGGCAGGAGGGGAGCCAGGAGGCCAGGAAACGCCGGAUUUAAAAGCGCUUUUAAAGUUUUUAAGGUUAAGAAGCUAAAAAGUUGGAUUUUUGGUUUUGGGCAACCCGGACCCACCUCUGGUCCCUGUGUUGGGAGUUUGGUGUGUGGGUUUUGUACGGAAGGUGGGUAUAGCUUUUCUUUCGAUUGGG